CAAUACAAUUGGCAGUUUUAUACCACAUCAUUUGUCACGUGGCAUGUUGAUGUGCCAUUUUAUUUUAUCUAUGCAAAUUUAUAUUAAUUUUCAUAUUAAAGAGAAAUAACAAUCCUUCUCCAAGUGAAAUUGUUCCUUUUAGUCCUUUUAAAUUCGCAACAUCCUUCUUUGUGAUCUCCUACCUCAAUAAUUAAUUUAUCAAAACUCUUCUUCCAAAAGAAGAAACAAAGAACAUUCAAAACCAUAAGGAUGAACAAUCCAAGCUUGUUUGAUGAUACCAUUGAUACUGAGAAAUAAGUCACCAAGGAUUCAGAGCAAGAAGAUCAACUCUUAAAGAAAGCCCUUUUCUUUUUGGUCAAUCCAUCCUCUUCCUAUAGCUUAUCAUAACGUUGCUUCAUAGAUAGAAACUCCUUCAUGUAAUGGUGAG
rnacentral:lncRNA from 1 species